UUGGAUAAACUUUACAGAAGGUUGGUAGCUAAAGUUUUUAGAUUAGACAAACUUUACAGAAGGUUGGUAUCUACUGUUUGUAGAUUGGAUAAACUUUACAGAAGGUUGGUAUCUACUGUUUGUAGAUUGGACAAACUUUACAGAAGGUUGGAAGCAACUGGUUGUAGAGUGCAUCGUCUUUACAGAAGGUUGGUAUCUACUGUUUGUAGAAUGGACAAACUUUACAGAAGGCUGGUAGAUUCUGUUACUAUAGUGGACAAACUUUACAGAAGGUUGGUAUCUACUGUUUGUAGAUUGGAUAAAUUUUACAGAAGGUUGGUAUCUACUGUUUGUAAAUUGGGUAAACUUUACAGAAGUGGUUGGUAGGAUUGCUGCUAGGCUUAAAAAUUACAGAAGGCUGAUGAUUAUAGGCUGGACAAACUAUUGAUGCACCACAGUAACGAUUUAGAAUUAAACUCUGCAGGGAGGCAGAUCAUUUAAUUUACUGAAGAUCCAUCACCAGACUCAUCUGCACUGCUUCACUCAUGUGUUCUUUCAUAGCUACUACAAUAUGUUGGUAUAUAUUAUUCACUAGGUUAGAAAAACUUAACUUAAACAAAACAGCAUAUUGGUAGCUACUGUUGCUAUUUUACAGCACAUGGGCAGCUACAGUUCAGAGUUUAAACAAACUUUACAGACUGGAAUAGCUACUGUUUAGCAGUUGGAAAACUUUACAGUACAUUUGUAGACACUGUCAUUAGGUCCAACAAACUUGUGGCUGGUGUAGAUACAUUUUUUGGAUUGGACAAACUUUACAGUACAUAUGUACUUAAUGUUUACGAGGUUGGUCAAACUUUACAGAAUGUUGUUAGCUACUAGUUUUUAUCUUGGGCAAAUUUUAGAGAUAGGCAGUAGCUACUGUUGAGGGUUUGUCCAAACUUUACAGAAUGUUAGUAGCUACUGAAAGCUAGGUUAAUUAAACUUAACAGAACACUUGUAGCUUCUAGCUUCUAAAUUGGGCAAACUUUACAGAUUGGCAGUAGCUUCUGUUGAAGGUUUGGCCAAACUUUACUUUUUUUUUCAGAAUUAUGUAGCAAAUGUUUGCUAGGUUGUACAAAUAUAAAGACCAUUGGUUGCUACUGUUGAGGGUUAGGACAAUUCUACUUUAUUGGCAGUAGCUGGUUGUAGUUUGGAGAAACUUUACAGAACUUUACAGAUUGGGAGUAGCAAGUUGUAGUGUGAGGGACACACUUUACAGAACAUUGGUAGCUUUUAUUUGCUUGGUUGGGAUAAAUGUUCCAGGUCUUGAAGCUGAACUAAUUUUACAGAAUGUCUGUAGCCAAGAUUUACAGAAUAUUUGUAGAUUCUAAUUUCUAGAUUGGGUAAA
rnacentral:lncRNA from 1 species